rnacentral:rRNA from 1 species
GAUUAACGCUGGCGGCGUGCAUAACACAUUCAAGUCGAACGGAAUGUAGCAAUACAUUUAGUGGCGGACGGGUGAGUAACGCGUGAGAAACCUGCCUUUCAGUGGGGGACAACAGUUGGAAACGACUGCUAAUACCGCAUAAUGUAUCGAUGGGGCAUCCCAAUGAUACCAAAGAUUUAUUGCUGAAAGAUGGUCUCGCGUCUGAUUAGCUAGUUGGUGAGGUAACGGCUCACCAAGGCGACGAUCAGUAGCCGGUCUGAGAGGAUGAACGGCCACAUUGGGACUGAGAUACGGCCCAGACUCCUACGGGAGGCAGCAGUGAGGAAUAUUGGGCAAUGGGCGCAAGCCUGACCCAGCAAUGCCGCGUGAAGGAAGACGGUUUUCGGAUUGUAAACUUCUUUUAAGAGGGACGAUAAUGACGGUACCUCUUGAAUAAGCCACGGCUAACUACGUG